UUCCUUUUCUUUUUUUUCCUGAUCCCCAGCUGCCUGCAGGCUGGGAAAUUCUUGCUGAAACUGACUAUUCACUUGGAUUCCAUCUCCUUGCCCACCUUGCUUGUUACUGGCCCAUGAUUUGGGAGCAGGUGCUACUUCUGGGGGAGCUGCAACCCCAGGUUUUGGCUGUGCUGGUGGCACUUCUGGUGUUUUUUCUUCUUCAUGUUGCUCUUGUUUUGAUGCCCACCCUGUGCCAUCUUUAGGUACAAUGUUUACAUUAGGAUCAUUGCCU
rnacentral:lncRNA from 1 species